ensembl:lncRNA
GAGAGGGGGACAGACAGAGGGGGGACAGACAGAGAGGGGGACAGACAGAGGGGGGGGCAGACAGACAGGGGGGACAGACAGAGAGGGGACAGACAGAGAGGGGACAGACAGAGAGGGGACAGACAGAGAGGGGGACAGACAGAGAGGGGGACAGAAUGAUGAUCAGUGUUCAAACCCCCCAUCUGCUCUGGGAUCCUAAAUGUAGGCCUGCUCUCAGACUGUGGAAGCCAUUUGUCUUCCACAACCUAUCGGCCUCAGUGAAGCUCCGUCCUGACUGAGUCGGACCAACACGAGAGCAGCUGGCUGCUACUCAGCGACGUCAUAUCGCAGUUGAGCUUUUACGUUGAUGAAAUAACACAAAUAGAAAUGAAACGAUCAGUUAAACAGAAUUCCACAGCAGUGGUCUCUCCGGCUCAGAGCCAGGCAGGGAGAUAGGAAAGACUUCAGGAAGGACUUCAGGAAGGACUUGAGCUAUCAGAGGCUCCCAUGGGCCUGGGCGGGCAGGUUGACCUUUAGUUCACCAACAAGAUCAUGAUGACCAAGAAGCAGCCAAAUCUGCGUGGACUGUCACCGAGGGGGGGGGGGUCAGCCGGCUGGGUAACCCGGCUGAGGUCAAUAACGUUCUGGUGAACGUUAGUGACCUCAGCGCCCAGCUGCCAGAAGGCUUUACUGGGCAUAAAUUAUGAUCAUUUUUGUGAUGCGUUUAAAGCUCAGUUAUAGAACGUUUACAAAUGUGAGAUUUGAAAUAAGCUUUGAGGGUAAAGUAACAAGGCUUAUCCCUAGAGAAAGGUACCAUCCAGGAACCUUCCCACCUGCUCUGGGGCAGUGAGCGCGACGUAUGACCAGAGUGUGUAGAGAGGUUAUUAAGAGGAGCAGAAAGAGGGAGAGGAGAGGUUAUUAAGAGAGGGAGAGGAGAGGUCAUCGGUAGGAGGGAGAGGAGAGGUCAUCGGUAGGAGGGAGAGGAGAGGUCCUCAGUAGGAGGGAGAGGAGAGGUCCUCAGUAGGAGGGAGAGGUCCUCAGCAGGAGGGAGAGGUCCUCAGUAGGAGGGAGAGGUCCUCAGUAGGAGGAGAGGUCCUCAGCAGGAGC